UGGGCAACCUACCUGUGAGACGGGGAUAACUCCGGGAAACCGGGGCUAAUACCGGAUAACGCAUCGAACCGCAUGGUUCGGUGAUCAAAGAUGGCUUCUAGCUAUCACUCGCAGAUGGGCCCGCGGCGCAUUAGUUAGUUGGUGGGGUAAUGGCUCACCAAGGCGACGAUGCGUAGCCGACCUGAGAGGGUGAUCGGCCACACUGGGACUGAGACACGGCCCAGACUCCUACGGGAGGCAGCAGUAGGGAAUCAUCCGCAAUGGACGAAAGUCUGACGGUGCAACGCCGCGUGAGCGAUGAAGGUCUUCGGAUCGUAAAGCUCUGUUGUGAGGGAAGAACAAGUGCCGUUCGAAUAGGGCGGCACCUUGACGGUACCUCACCAGAAAGCCCCGGCUAACUACGUGCCAGCAGCCGCGGUAAUACGUAGGGGGCAAGCGUUGUCCGGAAUUAUUGGGCGUAAAGCGCGCGCAGGCGGUUCCUUAAGUCUGAUGUGAAAGGCCACAGCUCAACUGUGGAGGGCCAUUGGAAACUGGGGAACUUGAGGACAGAAGAGGAGAGCGGAAUUCCACGUGUAGCGGUGAAAUGCGUAGAUAUGUGGAGGAACACCAGUGGCGAAGGCGGCUCUCUGGUCUGUAACUGACGCUGAGGCGCGAAAGCAUGGGUAGCGAACAGGAUUAGAUACCCUGGUAGUCCAUGCCGUAAACGAUGAGUGCUAGGUGUUAGGGGGUCCAACCCUUAGUGCUGCAGUUAACGCAAUAAGCACUCCGCCUGGGGAGUACGGCCGCAAGGCUGAAACUCAAAGGAAUUGACGGGGGCCUGCACAAGCGGUGGAGCAUGUGGUUUAAUUCGACGCAACGCGAAGAACCUUACCAGGUCUUGACAUCUUCGGACAGCCCAAGAGAUUGGGUCUUCCCUUCGGGGACCGAAUGACAGGUGGUGCAUGGUUGUCGUCAGCUCGUGUCGUGAGAUGUUGGGUUAAGUCCCGUAACGAGCGCAACCCCUGAUCUUAGUUGCCAGCAUUUAGUUGGGCACUCUAGGAUGACUGCCGGUGACAAACCGGAGGAAGGCGGGGAUGACGUCAAAUCAUCAUGCCCCUUAUGACCUGGGCUACACACGUGCUACAAUGGAUGGUACAAAGGGAAGCUAAACCGCGAGGUCAAGCUAAUCCCAUAAAGCCAUUCUCAGUUCGGAUUGUAGGCUGCAACUCGCCUGCAUGAAGCCGGAAUCGCUAGUAAUCGCGGAUCAGAAUGCCGCGGUGAAUACGUUCCCAGGCCUUGUACACACCGCCCGUCACACCA
rnacentral:rRNA from 1 species